AACUUAAAACCAGCGUGGGGAAACCUAUUGGCGGAGACCACCAAACACAAAGAAAAACCUGAGUGAGUGAGUGAGUGAGUGAGUGAGUGAUAUUUAAUUUUGUAACGGAAGUGAAAGAGGGGCAUAUGGUGGAGGACAGAACAUAUGGAAACCGUCGACUCAAGAGUCGAGGAGUGAUAGCCCAUCGAUAGCAGCGAGAUUGCCGGAUAACACUUGAAGUAGUAGAGAACAACCUGAUUCAUAUGUAGCUGCGAGUCUGCAAGCGGCGACCUAAGAGAAGCCCUUUCUCGGAUUGCUUCCAUCACCAUCAUUGUAGUAGUAAUUCCGGCGCUCCUUUUACUCUUCGACGCGGAGAAUUUCUCUCCAGAAGUGUGUAGACGAUAGGUGUGGUUUAUGCUUUCAAUCGGCUCCAAAAAAAAAAAAAAAAAAAGGAGAAAGAGAAACACUGAACUCUUUAAUCUUCUUCAGCCAUUGAUGAUAUGCUGCUUCAAUAAACUCAACCCCACCGGAAGUAUGAUGGGUUGUUGCAGACCGUAGGAAAAAUACAGAAAGCUUUUUGUCUUCAGGAAUAUAAUCCAUUGCUUCCUGAGAAAGAUGGGCUAGAACUUGAUCUGGUGGAUGCCCUUUCCUGUCGAUAUUAGAUGGGAAACUCUAUUACUGAACAACAUCAAAGGAUUCUUUGAAAAAAAAAGCAAAAAACCUGACGAUGCACCAAAGGUGGCAGAAACUGCAAUGGAAGCUAAGAAUGUUGAUGCGGAUAAAAGCAUAGUGAAGCUUACAAAGCAGAAAAGAGGGCUAAGCAGAAGAAAAUUAGGAAAAAGCCAAGGAAUCAGCUAAAAUAGAUGAAGUGCAGGAAAACCCUCAAGCAGAAGUGCUGGUUGAAUAGCUCAAGAUGGAAAUUGCAACCGCCAAAGAAGAAAUUGCUAGAUGGAGGGAAGCUUGUGAAUUGGAAUUUGAAAAUGGAAGCUGGGAUGGAUAUCAUUGAAGAAUAUGACAAAGAUGUUGAAGAGCUCCUGAUGGAAAUUGCAACUGCCAAAGAAGAAAUUGCUCGAUGGAAGGAAACUUUAAAUGUGGAGGCUGGGAGAGAUAUCAUUGAAGAAUGUGACAAAGAGGUAAGGUUCUCACUGUCUAAUUCACAUUUGUAAUUAGGUUUUAGCAAUUUAGUUAAUUAUUUUUGUAUCACUCGCUAUCUCAUUCAAUGCUAUUUUCUUGGUUGAUGUUUUUAGUCCUGUCAAAAGUUUUCUUCCGAAUCUGUAAAUAGUUAAUGAUGCAGAUAUCACUAUAACAUAGAUUGUAAAAUAUUGAAAAUUGCUGUUAUGGAAGAAAAGGAAUAAUAACAUACUUAUCCUUUGUUUUCUCCGUCUCCCAUUAACCACUAGGAAUGAGAAACAAUUUUACCAUUGAAGAUAAAUGAGAUACAGUGGCAAGUUCAGGCCCUGAGAGAAGGGGACAACUUCCUUUAGCAAACCACAGGACAUCGAUCCCCAGUAAUCUCUUAAGCAUGCCAAAACACUAAUGAAACUGACUAGCCUCUAAUCAGCUUAUAUUCCUCUGCUCCUUUAUGGCCUUUGACCAUCCAAUCUCUCCCCUUCUAGAUUUAGUUGUUGAAGAGGAUUUUAGAAACUGAAUCAGUUGUGUCCUGGAUCUUUAAAGAGGGAUUUGGCGGAUCUAGUCGAUCCAUGUGUUGGUCCAGUUUCUGAUCACUUCAUUCACCCAUGUGUGAAAACCAACUGAUGUUUGGGAGAUUCUCUUACCUAGGAGUUUUUAUUUUUAUUUUUUAUAAAGGGGGGUUGUUAAUGUAAGAUUAAGAAUAGGUAAGAGUACCCAGUCCAAAGUGAGCAACAAAUGACCCAAAGACUCUACUGAGAUUGUAUAUAACAAUCCCCUAAAACAGUAGCUAUAUAUAUAUACCCAUACAAACGGCCAAUCAGCUAGGGCAGAUUAGGGAUAAAAUCCAUCAAAAUGCCUCUGCUGCAGCCAGUAAUGGCUGAAAGGACAGAUUUUUAUAGAGAGAUCAGAGAAGGCUUCUGGAAUAUAUUCAGCAUUGCCAAAUGCUUUUGGACAAUUAAUUUCUUUUCUUUCAAUAGGAAUGAUAAGAUGCAGUAUACUAAAGAAAUUACUGACUUAGUUGCCUAUGUGUUUCUCACCAAAACCUUGCUUGUUGUGCAGGUUAUGAUUUAGCUUCCAUAUGUUGUCAUACAAGCUUAUAUAUAUAUAUAUAUAUAUAUUUAUAUAUAUAUAGCAUUAUAGUAUAUGCCAUGAUGGGAGCUCAAUGGACAGUUGUGAAGUUCUUUUGGUAUCUCUACUUCAUGUACUUUUCACUGUUAUACUUUACCUUUUAUGGUAUAAUGUCAGUGGCUGUGACACCCAACCAAAACAUUGCUGUCGUAGUUUCUGCAGCAUUCUAUUCUGUACUGAACCUCUUAUUUGGAUAUAUGGUUCCACAAACGGUUAGUUCCUUAGAUCUUCCUCCAUUUUAGAUAGUGUAAGUUAUAGAUUUCUUUGUUUACUAACAUUUAGUCCAUUGCAGCGGAUGCCAGUGUGGUGGAGAUGGUACUACUGGAUUUGACCUGUAACUUGGUCCUUGUAUGGAUUGUUUGCUUCACAAAUCCACAGCAUGGAGGGAAUUCUAUAUCCUAAUAAAGAUAACUGCUUUAUUGAUACGAAAUGCACUGGAUGUAAACCCCUUUAUUCACGCACUCUUAUUUCUUCUUAUGUAUAGUCUUGUCCUUAUUUAUCCAUAAAGAUAGCUAAUAUUUUCAUCAUCUUUUAGGACACUUUUCAGAUUCUCCUUGUUCCCACAACUAUGAUUUAGGAGAACACUUAGAGCCCUAUCAGGGAGAAUGUUUACAUAGAUACUCUGAAUUGAGUUUAUCAAUUUCUUCAUUUAUGCACAAAAAAAUUUCAAUAAGAAAAGUUCUCAGCAAAAAUUGAACAACCAAUAUUUUAUAAUAAAACUAAUUAGGACUAAUAUAGUUUAUUGAGUUUUUGAUACUUAACCCCAAGAAUAGUCACCCAUCAGAAUCAUCACACCUCAUUCGUUGUUUGUGUAUAUCACACACCAACCAUUGCUUAAGUCCAUCAGUGUCCCUUCAAAUUCAAACAUGUGAUCAAGAUCACGAAUAAGCCAAUCACGCCCUUUCAAAUCUUGUGAGUUCAAUUGAUCUCCCAAGAACAGUUUCAUAUUUGUGGACCUGAAAUUGAAAAUGAUUAAACAAUAAUUAGCAAUUUUCACAAGUGUGUGACCUAUGACCGAAGGCAUUAGACACUAAUCACCUUGGUAUAAGUCCUGCUAGUGAUAGAACAUUUUGCACGGUUUCCCAUUGUUACUAGAUCCACAUGAAUCAGAAGGCUUUGCACCUUGGUAAAGCUUCUUAACAACUUAAAAAAGCUUUACUAAGGUGCAAAGCCUUCUGAUUCGUGUGGAUCUGGUAGCACUGGGAAACCGUGCAUGAAAUGUUCUAUCACUAGUAGAACUUGUACCAAGGUGCUUAGUGUUCUAAUGCCUUCGGUCAUGGAUCACACACUUGUGAGAAUUGUUAAUUAUUGUUUAAUCUUGUUCUUGGGAGAUCAAUUGACCUCACAAGAUUUGAAAGGGUAUGAUAAGCUUAUUUGUGUGCUUGAUCACAUGUUUGGAGGGAAACUGAUGGAUCCAAGCAAUGGUUAGCGUGUGAUAUACACAAACAAUAAAGAAUGCUCAUGGGUGACUAACCUUGUGGUCAACUAUCGGAAACUUAAAUAAACUAUUUUAGUCCUUGCUGAGGACUUUUUGUAUUCUAUUUUUGUACAUGCAGGGAAUUUUGUUCAAUGGUGCGUGAAAUGGUCAUCUUUCCAAAGGAAGAAAUUGAUGAGUUCAAUUUAGGUUAACCAAAUUUGUUAUUCUCGUAAACGUUCUCUUUAAUAGGACUCCUAGUGUUCUCUUGUAUCAUUGAGGAAUUGGGAAGUGUCAUAUAGGGUGAUGAUAAUAUAAAUUAUGUAUAAGGAUAAGACUAUUAUAUGUAAGGAAAAAAGUGAAUGACGGUGGUGUAUAUCUGGUCCACAGACACAAGUCUAAAGAAGCAAGGCACUGAUGAUCACAAUUGUUUCAGGGACUCGCUUUCUUGAUGCGAUCAAAUGUUGGCAGUCUCUCAAGAACUGCCCAUUUUAAUGCUUCUUCAUCAUCUCUGUUGCGAAAAGACUGUAUAAGGAGACGUCGUUGCUUGAACUUCUCCUGAAUCCAGAGCCUCUUCUACUUCUUCAGAUACUCUGCAACUUUGUAAAUGUCACUGAUUGGUGUACUUGAAAAUAAUAGAAAGACCAUUGGAAGGCUAUGGAUGAAUGAUAUAACUUCACAGUUUCAAUGCAAUUUUUUGUGAUCCAAGGAUGUGCGGGAAUUUAAUUUUAUAGGAGUCCUUGAUUCAUAACCUGCCAAAUAUCAAUGAUAAUAUAUGGAAGUUCAGGAA